GGGGCUGGGCGGCGGUUGAGACGCCGGUGCCGCGAGGCGGAGGUCACGGUCCCCGGGCGCCGGAGCUUCUGAGUGAGCGCCAGGCAUUUGUAAACGCCAGAAGCGCGACCUGCGGAGCCAGGAGCGGGGGCGCGGCCGGGCGGCGGCCGUCUCCACGGGAGGUUGACGUCUCCGGUGGUUCCAGCUGAGGGCGCCAAGCCGGACCCCGCCCAUAUGAAGGCAAAUCAUGUUCAGACCCAGGCCGAGGUUCCUGCUGACCCAGGCUCUCACCGGCACGUUGUCCUUUACUGUCCUCCUGAGGGCGUCUGGAGCUUCAGUGCUGUGUGCUCUCGGCCUCCAUGCUGGGGCACCACCGACUCCCGCCGUCCAGGGCUUCCAGUGGACUCUCCGAGGCACUGAUGUAGAAUCUUCCCCAUUCGGUGCACCAAGAGCAGCCUCACACGGUGUGGGCUGACAUGAAGAGCUGCCAGAUCCAACAGGUAACAAUCCUGAGGUCAGGGAGUCCUGUCUCUAUUUUGACUCAGAUGCGAAGGGAAGAUGCCGUGGACCCUAAACAUCGCAGCAUGACCAGCGUGUGCCACCACGACCUGCAGCGCGUGGUCAGGUGGAAGUUAUUUGACUUCAGGAGAGGACAGUGUUCUCUUCGGGCCUUUUCCUCAGUGGCUGGAUAAAUACGGUUGAUAAUAGUAACGCCGCACUCCUCGUGUGCCUGAAAUGCCCCACAUUGUCUUCUUCAGGUGGGAAGCACUCUGGAACAGCCAGAUAAAGGAGAGGAAGAAAAUAACAGGGAUCUUCAUGGAGAAAUGACCCCCGUGAGGGCCUGGACUCUCCAGCAGUCACAGCAGAGGAAACGCCCUGAGGAAGCAUGGAGGAGCUGAACGCCCGGACUGGGAAAGCAGAGCCUGAGCUGAGUCCACACCCUGGAAGCCCAGAACCGAGGGGACGGACGGAAGAAAGAAAGUCGGCAGGUGUUUGGAGAAGAGAAGAACCUGCAGAGGACGAGUCAGCGCUGGAACAGGGGGGACCGAAGCCGGGGAGAGUGAGGACAGACGGGGCCAGGAGCCUCGGGGGAUGGGCAGCGGGCCUGUGAUCAUGCAGCCACGCCAGGAGCAGCGCACGCUGAGCAGGGGGGACCGAGAGAGAAACCUACUCCGCAGGAGUCUCCUGAGCCUGGCCAGGGAGAGCCAAAGGGUGGAUCAGAGCUGGUUUGUAGUGAGGGGCAGCACCGCUCCAAGACGGAGAGGAUGCGACCGUGGGCCCCCGCCCCAGACCCCGGAGCCUCGACCUCGGGGCCCCCGCAGCAGAGGAUGCUCUGCAGGUCGGCGUGGAUGAGAGGGAAUCACCGUGCUUGGAGAAGGGUGAGAGAUGUCCGUUCUGACACCACACAGCUCUGCCCUAGGUCAGGUGCCAGAGUCAGUGAUUCUUGCCAGUAUACGAGGCAGUGAUACUUCCACUAUUCC